rnacentral:rRNA from 1 species
UCAAAGAUUAAGCCAUGCAUGUCUAAGUAUAAGCAAUUUAUAUGUGUGAAACUGCGAAUGGCUCAUUAAAUCGGUUAUAAAGUAUUUGAUAGUGAAAGACUAUAUGGAUAGCCAUAGUAAUUCUAGAGCUAAUACAUGCGUAAAGGCCUAACUCGUUGAGGGAAAGGCUGUGUUUAUUAGAUUGAAAACCAGCGGCAACAGCAGGAUGCAAGUCUUGUUGUUGUAAGUUUUGGGUGAGUCAUAAUAAAUGAGCGAAUCUUCGGUUUACGAAGAUGAAACAUUUCUAUUUCCGCUCUAUCAACUUUGACGUUAAGGUAGUGGCUUAACGAAGUUUUGACGGAUAACGGAGAAUUAGGGUUCGAUUCCGGAGAGGGAGCCUGAGAAACGGCUACCACUUCUAAGGAAGGCAGCAGGCGCGAAAAUUACCCAAUCCCAAUUAUCUUGGGGAGGUAGUGACAAAAAAUAACAAUGUUUGGUGAUUCGUCAUCAGCAAUUGUAAUGGUCUGGAUUUAAAAAGUCCAGGGAGUAGCCAUUAGAGGGCAAGUCUGGUGCCAGCAGCCGCGGUAAUUCCAGCUCUAAUAGUGUAUACUAAAAUUGCUGCAGUUAAAAAGCUCGUAGUUGGAUUUUAGGUGGAGCUGUAUGUCAGCUUGAUUGGGGAUGUUUUUUGUUCUGUUGGGGGUUGACCUUGUAUCUAAAGGCAGCCUUACACCUUCAGACGGGAUAUCCUUUAUUAUUCGAUCAAGAUGAUUGUUUCACCCAUUUUUUUUCGGGUUGGCUCUGUCCUCUUUACUGAGUGGCAGAGUUGAUUCGGAGGAUUUACUUUGAAGAAAAUGUAGUGUUCAAAGCAGGCGUUUGCAGCUGAACACAUUAGCAUGGAAUAAUAAAAUAAGACAUCGGCGAUUAAUUUCCUUUUCACUAAGGUUCGUCUUUAAUUUCUUCUCAUUCUUCAUCUUAUUUCUAAGCAUUUCUUUGUUUGGGGUGAGGUGGAUGUAUUGGGAAGGAGUUGGGAUUGAAAGGUGGGAGAUUGGGGUUAAUCUACAGUAAUGUAUUCGUUUUGUUGGUUCAUGGAGUUGAUGUAAUGAUUAAUAGGAAUAGUCGGGGAUAUCCGUAUUGCAUUGUCAGAGGUGAAAUUCUUGGAUUUAUGCAAGACGAACUAAUGCGAAAGCAUUUAUCAAGGAUGUUUUCAUUAAUCAAGAACGAAAGUAAGGGGAUCGAAGACGAUCAGAAACCGUUGUAGUCCUUGCCAUAAACUAUACCGUCUAAGAAUCGGUGGUUGUCACAUUUUACGACUCCUCCGGCGCUUUUAGAGAAAUCAUAAGUCUUUGGGUUCUGGGGGGAGUAUGGUCGCAAGGCUGAAACUUAAAGAAAUUGACGGAAGGGCACCACCAGGUGUGGAGCCUGCGGCUUAAUUUGACUCAACACGGGGAAACUUACCAGGUCCGGACACGGGAAGGAUUGACAGAUUGAUAGCUCUUUCUUGAUUCCGUGGGUGGUGGUGCAUGGUCGUUCUUAGUUGGUGGAGUGAUUUGUCUGGUUAAUUCCGAUAACGAACGAGACCUCAACCUACUAAAUAGCCAGGUUUCAAGUUUAAGGUGUUAGGGCAACCUAGCAUUCUGCUUGAGGCUCCUAAUAUGGUUUCUUCUUAGGGGGACUACCGUAUUUUUUUUAAACGGGGGAAGCAUGAGGCAAUAACAGGUCUGUGAUGCCCUUAGAUGUCCUGGACCGCACGCGCGCUACAAUGAUGCAGUCAGCGAGUUUGUCCUACCCCGAAAGGGUUCGGUAAUCUUUUAAAACUGCAUCGUAGUGGGGAUUGAUCUUUGUAAUUCUGGAUCAUGAACCAGGAAUACCUAGUAGGUACAAUUCAUCAGAUUGUGCCGAUUACGUCCCUGCCCUUUGUACACACCGCCCGUCGCUCCUACCGAUGAUUGUUCAGAUGAAAUGCUCGGAUUGUGCGGUUGUGGCUGCAUUCGUGUGGUUGCUUACUGUUCUGGAGAAGAGUAGUAAAUCUUAACAGUUAGA